GACGAACGCUGGCGGCGUGCCUAACACAUGCAAGUCGAACGAGAAAUCCGCCUUCGGGUGGAGAGUAAAGUGGCGCACGGGUGAGUAACACGUGGAUAAUCUGCCUCUGAGUGAGGAAUAACUCGUCGAAAGGCGGGCUAAUACCUCAUAACACUGCUUUCUCUGCGGAGGGAGCAGCCAAAGGUGGCCUCUGACGCAAGCUAUCGCUUAGAGAUGAGUCCGCGGCCCAUUAGCUAGUUGGUAGGGUAAUGGCCUACCAAGGCGACGAUGGGUAGAGGGGCUGAGAGGAUGAUCAGCCACACUGGAACUGAGGUACGGUCCAGACUCCUACGGGAGGCAGCAGUGAGGAAUAUUGCGCAAUGGGGGAAACCCUGACGCAGCAACGCCGUGUGAGUGAUGAAGGCCUUCGGGUCGUAAAGCUCUGUUUGGUGGAAAGAAAGACACCUGACUAAUACUCAGGUUGUUUGACGGUACCAUCAGAGGAAGCACCGGCCAACUCCGUGCCAGCCGCCGCUGUAACAC
rnacentral:rRNA from 1 species